CCUACGGGAGGCAGCAGUGGGGAAUAUUGCACAAUGGGGGGAACCCUGAUGCAGCGACGCCGCGUGGGUGAAGGAGUAUUUCGGUAUGUAAAGCCCUAUCAGCAGGGAAGAACAAUGACGGUACCUGACGAAGAAGCACCGGCUAAAUACGUGCCAGCAGCCGCGGUAAUACGUAGGGUGCACGCGUUAUCCGGAUUUACUGGGUGUAAAGGGAGCGCAGGCGGCGCGGAAAGCCUGGGGUGAAAGCCCGCGGCCAAACCCCGGGACUGCAUUGGGAACUGGCGCGCUGGAGUGCCGGAGGGGUAGGCGGAAUUCCUCUUGUAGCGGUGCACUGCGUAGAUAUUAGGAGGCCCACCAGUGGCG
rnacentral:rRNA from 1 species